GACGAACGCUGGCGGCGUGCCUAACACAUGCAAGUCGAGCGAAUGAAGUUCCUUCGGGAACGGAUUUAGCGGCGGACGGGUGAGUAACACGUGGGCAACCUGCCUCAUAGAGGGGAAUAGCCUUUCGAAAGGAAGAUUAAUACCGCAUAAGAUUGUAGUAUCGCAUGGUACAGCAAUUAAAGGAGCAAUCCGCUAUGAGAUGGGCCCGCGGCGCAUUAGCUAGUUGGUGAGGUAACGGCUCACCAAGGCGACGAUGCGUAGCCGACCUGAGAGGGUGAUCGGCCACAUUGGGACUGAGACACGGCCCAGACUCCUACGGGAGGCAGCAGUGGGAAUAUUGCGCAAUGGGGGAAACCCUGACGCAGCAACGCCGCGUGAAGGAUGAAGGUCUUCGGAUUGGAAACUUUGUCUUAUGGGACGAACACAGACGGUACCAUAGGAGAGCCAGGCUAACUACGUGCCAGCAGCCGCGGU
rnacentral:rRNA from 1 species